CCUACGGGGCGCAGCAGUGAGGAAUAUUGGUCAAUGGGCGCGAGCCUGAACCAGCCAAGCCGCGUGAGGGAAGACGGUCCUAUGGAUUGUAAACCUCUUUUGUCGGGGAGCAAAAGACGCCUCGCGUGGCGUUCCGAGAGUACCUGAAGAAAAAGCAUCGGCUAACUCCGUGCCAGCAGCCGCGGUAAUACGGAGGAUGCGAGCGUUAUCCGGAUUUAUUGGGUUUAAAGGGUGCGCAGGCGGAGGAUCAAGUCAGCGGUAAAAUUGAGAGGCUCAACCUCUUCGUGCCGUUGAAACUGCAUCUC
rnacentral:rRNA from 1 species